rnacentral:tRNA from 1 species
GGCUUCGUGGUGUAGUGGUCAGCACGCUCGACGCGUAACCGAGAGGUCCGUGGUUCGAUUCCUGGCGAAGGCG